rnacentral:tRNA from 2 species
GCGAGAGUGGCGGAAUCGGCAGACGCCCGAGACUUAAAAUCUCGUGGACCUUUGGUCCGUGCGGGUUCAAGUCCCGCCUCUCGCACCA